rnacentral:rRNA from 1 species
GAGCGGCGGACGGGUGAGUAACGCGUGGGUAACCUGCCCUGUACACACGGAUAACAUACCGAAAGGUAUGCUAAUACGGGAUAAUAUAUAAGAGUCGCAUGACUUUUAUAUCAAAGAUUUUUCGGUACAGGAUGGACCCGCGUCUGAUUAGCUAGUUGGCAAGGUAACGGCUUACCAAGGCGACGAUCAGUAGCCGACCUGAGAGGGUGACCGGCCACAUUGGGACUGAGACACGGCCCAAACUCCUACGGGAGGCAGCAGUGGGGAAUAUUGCACAAUGGGGGAAACCCUGAUGCAGCGACGCCGCGUGAGCGAAGAAGUAUUUCGGUAUGUAAAGCUCUAUCAGCAGGGAAGAAAAUGACGGUACCUGACUAAGAAGCACCGGCUAAAUACGUGCCAGCAGCCGCGGUAAUACGUAUGGUGCAAGCGUUAUCCGGAUUUACUGGGUGUAAAGGGAGCGUAGACGGAUGGGCAAGUCUGAUGUGAAAACCCGGGGCUCAACCCCGGGACUGCAUUGGAAACUGUUCAUCUAGAGUGCUGGAGAGGUAAGUGGAAUUCCUAGUGUAGCGGUGAAAUGCGUAGAUAUUAGGAGGAACACCAGUGGCGAAGGCGGCUUACUGGACAGUAACUGACGUUGAGGCUCGAAAGCGUGGGGAGCAAAUAGGAUUAGAUACCCUAGUAGUCCACGCCGUAAACGAUGAGAACUAGGUGUUGGGGGAAUAACUCAGUGCCGCAGUUAACGCAAUAAGUUCUCCGCCUGGGGAGUAUGCACGCAAGUGUGAAACUCAAAGGAAUUGACGGGGGCCCGCACAAGCGGUGGAGUAUGUGGUUUAAUUCGAAGCAACGCGAAGAACCUUACCAGGCCUUGACAUCCCUUGCAGAGGUAUAGAGAUAUAUCCGAGGUUAUCAAGGAGACAGGUGGUGCAUGGUUGUCGUCAGCUCGUGUCGUGAGAUGUUGGGUUAAGUCCCGCAACGAGCGCAACCCUUGUGAUAUGUUACUAACAUUGAGUUGAGGACUCAUAUCAGACUGCCGGUGAUAAACCGGAGGAAGGUGGGGAUGACGUCAAAUCAUCAUGCCCCUUAUGGCCUGGGCUACACACGUACUACAAUGGCGUCUACAAAGAGCGGCAAGCCUGUGAAGGCAAGCGAAUCUCAUAAAGGACGUCUCAGUUCGGAUUGAAGUCUGCAACCCGACUUCAUGAAGCUGGAAUCGCUAGUAAUCGCGAAUCAGCAUGUCGCGGUGAAUACGUUCUCGGGCCUUGCACUCACCGCCCGUCA